rnacentral:rRNA from 1 species
CAGUCGCCGCGGUAAAACGUAGGGUGCAAGCGUUAAUCGGAAUUACUGGGCGUAAAGCGUGCGCAGGCGGUUUUGUAAGACAGAGGUGAAAUCCCCGGGCUCAACCUGGGAACUGCCUUUGUGACUGCAAGGCUAGAGUACGGCAGAGGGGGAUGGAAUUCCGCGUGUAGCAGUGAAAUACGUAGAUAUGCGGAGGAACACCGAUGGCGAAGGCAAUCCCCUGGGCCUGUACUGACGCUCAUGCACGAAAGCGUGGGGAGCAAACAGGAUUAGAUACCCCGGUAGUCCCUGUCUCUUAUAC